GGCCGCAUCAUCUUGAAAUGCCAGUUCCCAUAUGAUCACUGAAGUUAAGCAACAUUAAACCUGGUCAAUACCUAGAUGGAUGACCACUUGGUAAUACCAGGUGCUGUAAG